GGUUUUAAAUUAUUUAUAAGUUCAUCUCAAAGAGUACAAGUAGUAAAUCAAGAUAACCCCUCCGCCAAACCAUUUAAAGAGCACCAUCAGUUCGUCAUCGGCCGGAACAAAGACUAUUAUCCCAUUCAUCUAAUUUCUAGCUAAUGCUUGGGAAAGAUAACAAAGCAAGCAGCACAAACCUGAAAAACAACAGAAUAGAGCUGAUGGAGGAAAAGGCACCAGACCAGAGUCCGGAUAAAACAAGGCAUGUCCACAAUAGAGCUCAAUUUGACUAGUUCCAACUGAAGAAUAAGGAAAAGAAAAGCCCACGUUCAUGUCAUCUUCAUCCAGCUACCAGUCUGAAAUGAGCCAAGAGCGAUCGAAGUAGAUUUCAUAUGAAAGGCGCAUCCCCAGGCGAAUUGAGCCCUUGAUGUCCUUUAUAUUUUUACAUAUUGAUAAUGGUAAUAUGUAACAGUAUAAAUGUUGAACUUUUAAUGUAACUUUGUAAAAACGCAGGGGAGGAAAUUUCAUUAAAAAAAGGGCAGGAAGUUUAUUUAAUUUUAUGCAAUCCAAAGAAGAAACUAUAUAAAAAUGGAAGAAAAAUGAAGCGAUCGACUUGUGUCUGGUCUUGUUCCCUGGCACACGCAAAAGAAGAAAGCCAAAAUCUUUAGAGAGAUUAAUGCAUGGUCUUGGUCUUUGGCAAUACUCUCUCUCUCCCUCUCUCUCUCCCUCCCUCACUCACUUGGCUCCUCCGUGUCUCUGUGUUGUUUUCUUGGAAGACGGGCUCUUGUCUCUGUACAAACAAAAUCCACCCAUGCGCACAUCGAAUCUCUCUGUUUCGCUUUCUGUUGAAAGGAAUACCUUCAUUUGCGUCAUCAUCAAACCCCUCAUUGUCAUAUUCUUUACUUUCUUGUGGCUUUCAUUUACUUCAGUCUUUACAUUGCUACUUCCUUUCUUCUUCUUCUUGAGCCCUGAUCUGGUAACCAGAAUGCCUGCAUUUCUUUUUCUUUCCAAACCUCAUGAAAGCAGCAGAUCCCCGACGUUUCUCUGCGGCUAAAAUGCUACUCACUUUUGCUUCUCUGUAGCUUUACUUUUCUUUAGUUUUAUUGAGGGAAAAAGAAUUCGUUUCUUCUGUGCAGGAUAUUCUAAUCUGUGAAUGAUUUCCAUAGAGAAUGUUUUCUUGGGUGUAACCCAGAUGUAGAUCAUCAUUAUUUUAUAAGCAAAUUUUCUCUUUAGAAGUGAGUUUUUGGGUUAUUUGGCUCCUAGGGUUUGUUUGUUCGUUCUUCCCUCUUGGCCCUUCUCUACAUGAAUUCGCCUCAAAAUUACUCUUGCCGGAGCUUCAUUGUCGAAUUUAGAGGAAAGCCCAGUCGACCACUUCCAUCAUAACUUCAUCUCUGCUAUUUUAAGAUCCAAAUCCAGAUAGGUUCGUGUUUCUUUAGGGCAUUCAGCAAACAGCAAGUCUGAAGUUCGAAAAUUUUCUCUUUUUUACCCCUCGAUUGCCUACCAAAAAUAUGGGCUGUGUCCACGGCAAGUGUUGUAGCCGCUACCCGUCAUCAACAGAUGGUGAUUCAAAGGACUACCAUGAAGCGGAACAUGUUGGUAAUAAACACAUACUCACUCAGAGAUCACUGGAGAUUAUUCCUGUCCCGUCCCAUAACUUAAAGUUGCAGUACUCUGUUCUGACUCAGCGAGGUUACUACCCAGACUCACCAGACAAGGAAAACCAAGACAGUUUCUGCAUUAGAACUCAAAUUCAAGGUAACCCUAAUAUGCAUUUUUUUGGUGUAUUUGAUGGCCAUGGUGUAUAUGGUGCUGAAUGUUCAAAUUUCGUUAAGGAUAGGUUAGUGGAGAUAUUAGCAGAUGAUCCCUCGUUGUUGAAUGACCCUGUUAAAGCUUAUAGUUCUGCAUUUUUAAGGAUGAAUUCUGAGUUACAUAGUAGUAAAAUUGAUGAUACAAUGAGUGGUACCACUGCUAUAACUGUUCUUGUUAUUGGAGAUAAGAUUUAUGUUGCCAAUGUGGGUGAUUCCAGAGCAGUAAUUGCUGUUAAAAAUGGGAAUAGAAUUAUAGCUGAAGAUUUGUCUAAUGAUCAAACCCCAUUUAGGAAAGAUGAGUACGACAGAGUCAAAUUAUGUGGGGCUAGAGUUCUGAGUGUUGAUCAAGUGGAAGGGUACAAGGAUCCUGAUAUACAGUUAUGGGAUGAUGAGGAAAGUCAAGGGGGAGAUCCUCCAAGGUUGUGGGUGCAGAAUGGGAUGUAUCCGGGGACUGCAUUUACGAGAAGUGUAGGGGAUAGUACAGCUGAGACGAUUGGCGUUAUUGUUGAUCCAGAGGUUUCCAUUGUUCAGCUCAUGCCCAAUCAUUUGUUCUUCGUGGUUGCAAGUGAUGGAGUUUUUGAGUUCCUCUCAAGCCAAGCUGUUGUUGAUAUGGCAGCAAGAUAUGCCGAUCCCCGAGAUGCAUGUGCAGCCAUUGCGGGAGAGUCAUAUAAACUAUGGCUGGAGCAUGAAAGUCGGACAGAUGAUAUUACAAUUAUUAUUGUACAGAUUAAAAACCCAUCUUAUGUGUUGAUGCUAUGGAUGCGACUGUUGAAGUCAAUGGGAACCCAAUGAGUUCAAGGAGAAAAGAGAAUUCUGAAUUUUCUAUUGCCUCUGGGUCUGAGAUUUACCGUUCAAUGAGGAGUGAAUUGUCAGAUCAGCAACUUUCAGCUAGCCGAAGUGCAGCUAUUGUUGUUCCAUCUCCAUCUCAUCAGAGAUCCCUGGAAUUGGAUGGGGGUUAAUGAUCCUGGAUUGAAACUGAGUUUGUUCCGCAUACAAGAUAUACUGAACCGAAGAUCUUCACGCAAGCCAUGGUUUCUGAGCAAUGUUGCUGAAACACUGCCAAUAACCAACAAAAUGGCUUGAGGAGAACAGAAUACUUCUCCUUUGUGCUGUCAUACCGAGCAGCUGGUAGAUCCAAAGACGGGGGACUUGGGUAGCAAAGUUGGAGGGAGAUUCCUGGAGGCUGGGAAAUGAUAAUUGUAAAUUUGCGUAAGCUAUAUUAUAGUUUCUCAUUCACAUUGUAUUCAGGAAGAAAAAAUAUCAUAAAGUUGUUUGCUUUGAUAUCUGCUGCCGGUUAUGAUCCUCCCUCCCUCCUUCCUCUAGUCUUCUUUAUCUCUAUUAAUAGGGUAAUAUAUUAUUCCUGAUAUUUGGCAUCUCUUGUCAUCAAUGCUUUGUUCAGAGAAUCAUGCCUGAUCCUAGUAGCAGCAGCCAGCAAGGCAUUGAUUCACUUAACAAGUGAAAAAUAAAUGGAUUAUCUAUUUUAAAAUAGAUCUUUUUUUCA